rnacentral:snRNA from 1 species
CGAUGUGAGGGCUAUCUGGCUGCGACAUCUGUCACCCCAUUGAUCGCCAGGGUUGAUUCGGCUGAUCUGGCUGGCUAGGCGGGGUCCCCUUCCUCCAUCACCGCUCCAUGUGCGUCCCUCCCGAAGCUGCACACUCGGUUGAAGAGGACGACCUUCCCCACUAGAGGAGGACUGGUCUUCGGUCAAGGGUAUACAAGUAGCUGCGCUCCCCUGCUAGAACCUCCAAACAAGCUCUCCCUGAGUUUUGCAAAUGUUAAGAAGCUUCUCCCUGAGUUUUCUCUUGAAGGUCUGAAACAAAGG